rnacentral:rRNA from 1 species
AAUGAACGUUGGCGGCGUGGAUUAGGCAUGCAAGUCGAACGCCCCGCAAGGGAGUGGCGCAAGGGUGAGUAAGGCGACGGUAACCAACCCCGACGAUUGGGCGAUAGCCGAGGGAAACGUUACGGGUAAGUUCCCACGCGAUGUGUCAGGGCGGGCAUCACCCUGACACCAAAGCUCCGGCGUCUUGGGACGGGCCGUCGUGGUAUUAGGUUGUUGGCGGGGUAACGGCCCACCAAGCCUGCGAUGCCUACCGGGCGUGCGAGCGUGGCCCGGCACACUGGGACGUGAGACACUGCCCAGACUCCUACGGGAGGCAGCAGUAAGGAAUAUUGGUCAAUGGA